rnacentral:rRNA from 1 species
UACGGGGGGAGCAAGCGUUGUUCGGAUUUACUGGGCGUAAAGGGCGCGUAGGCGGCCACCGCAAGUCGGUUGUGAAAUCUCUGGGCUUAACCCAGAAAGGUCAACCGAUACUGCGGGGCUAGAGUGCAGAAGGGGCAACUGGAAUUCUCGGUGUAGCGGUGAAAUGCGUAGAUAUCGAGAGGAACACCAGUGGCGAAGGCGAGUCCCUGGACAACUCCUGACGCUGAGGCACGAAAGCUAGGGGAGCAAACAGG